UACGUAGGGUGCAAGCGUUAAUCGGCAUUACUGGGCGUAAAGCGUGCGCAGGCGGUGAUGUAAGACAGAUGUGAAAUCCCCGGGCUCAACCUGGGAACUGCAUUUGUGACUGCAUCGCUGGAGUACGGCAGAGGGGGAUGGAAUUCCGCGUGUAGCAGUGAAAUGCGUAGAUAUGCGGAGGAACACCGAUGGCGAAGGCAGUCCCCUGGGCCUGCACUGACGCUCAUGCACGAAAGCGUGGGGAGCAAACAGG
rnacentral:rRNA from 1 species